rnacentral:rRNA from 1 species
AUCCGAAGUUUCCCUCAGGAUAGCUGGUGCAUUUAAAAAUUAUAUANAAUAAUCUUAUCUGGUAAAGCGAAUGAUUAGAGGCCUUAGGGUCGAAACGAUUUUAACCUAUUCUCANACUUUAAAUGGGCAAGAACCUCACCUUUCUUGAUAUGAAGGUUGAGGUUAUGAUAUAAUGUGCCCAGUGGGCCACUUUUGGUAAGCAGAACUGGCGCUGUGGGAUGAACCAAACGUAAUGUUACGGUGCCUAAAUUAACAACUCAUGCAGAUACCAUGAAAGGCGUUGGUUGCUUAAAACAGCAGGACGGUGGACAUGGAAGUCGUAAUCCGCUAAGGAGUGUGUAACAACUCACCUGCCGAAGCAACUAGCCCUUAAAAUGGAUGGCGCUUAAGUUGUAUACCUAUACAUUACCGCUAAAGUAGAUGAUUUAUAAAACAAUUUCGAUUGAUUUAUAAAUUUUGAAACUUUAGUGAGUAGGAGGGUACAAUAGUGUGCUUAGAAGUGUUUGGCGUAAGCCUGCAUGGAGCCGCUAUUGGUACAGAUCUUGGUGGUAGUAGCAAAUAAUCGAAUGAGACCUUGGAGGACUGAAGUGGAGAAGGGUUUCGUGUGAACAGUGGUUGAUCACGAGUUAGUCGGUCCUAAGUUCAAGGCGAAAGCCGAAAAUUUUCAAGUUUU